AGUUAAUUCAUGGAAAAAGAUUUUUAGUAUAUAAUACAUAUGUUUGUAUAUUCUUAUGUAUGCAGGGAUAUAAGAAAGAAUCAAAAGGAAUACGGAGAAAAGGUACGAAGAAACUCAUUUCCUACAACUGAACUGCAGACUCAGUAUUGCAUAUCUAAUGGCAAAACAUAAAUGGAAAUUACACCUUUGAAGUGAAUGCAAACUUGAAAGUUAUGGGCAUUCUCACCACGAAUGGGUGUACCUGUUUAGAAACUUUUCAUUAAAAAUUACGCACAAGCUGUGGAUGCACUAUUUGCUCAUUUUAGUUUCUAAACUUUUUGCAACAUGCAUAUACAUAAAUUAUUUUAGAUGGUGGAGCAUGCGCCUUACCGCCUUAAAAUCCAUAAAAAAAUUGGAUAAGGAAAAAGAAAUGGACAAAGUAUGUAAGAAUGUUUGUAAAAGCCGAACACGUUGAAAAAAAGAGGCCAAGUAGGGUGAUUUUGGUUGGUGGCACCAAGCGGCACGGAUGAAACAUGCGUGGGAUCAUCAAAAUGAGUACUACUAUGCCGAUUAUUGCCAAAGCGGAAGGAAAAUAGGCGGAAUGCAUUAACAGCCGCAUGAACAAUGUACAACAAGCCGGAAAGUAAUUAGGGUAGCAAAGUUUAUUGAAUUUCAAGUUGAGUCAUGAAAUGUUAAGCAGUGAACACAUUUGCAAUUACAACAAUAACAUCUUCAGGGAAUACUCGCAUGUGUAGUAGAAAUAUUUUAUAAUCUAAUAUCUAAUUGAAAUACACAUACUGGUGAUUGUUGUUGUUGUAGCAGCUGGCUAAACAAGCACAAAAUGGUCAGACUGCUUGGCUCUAACAUCACUGCCAACAUCGAUGCCUCCGGCCUCCUUCGCUUUUCUGACCCAUUCAAGACUUUAGUAUAUUUCGUUUCAUAUUUUAUUUUAGCUGCAUGGUGAUAUUUUAUUUAUAGACAACACUCAAAUAUAUCUAAAGAAUACAUAGCGUCAAAACAAAUGAGAAAAAGUCGCUGAACUAAUAAAAAUGAAAAUACUACACCCGGCCAUCGGCAGC